rnacentral:rRNA from 1 species
CGGACGGGUGAGUAAUGUCUGGGAAACUGCCCGAUGGAGGGGGAUAACUACUGGAGACGGUAGCUAAUACCGCAUAACGUCGCAAGACCAAAGAGGGGGACCUUCGGGCCUCUUGCCAUCGGAUGUGCCCAGAUGGGAUUAGCUAGUAGGUGGGGUAACGGCUCACCUAGGCGACGAUCCCUAGCUGGUCUGAGAGGAUGAUCAGCCACACUGGGACUGAGACACGGCCCAG